rnacentral:misc_RNA from 1 species
GAUGAAGAACGCAGCGAAAUGCGAUAAGUAGUGUGAAUUGCAGAAUUCAGUGAAUCAUCGAAUCUUUGAACGCACAUUGCGCCCCUUGGUAUUCCAUGGGGCAUGCCUGUUCGAGCGUCAUUUGUACCUUCAAGCUUUGCUUGGUGUUGGGUGUUUGUCCCUCGGGACUCGCCUUAAAGUCAUUGGCAGCCAGUGUUUUGGUUUUGAAGCGCAGCACAAGUCGCGAUUCAAGGCUAUCCGCCCGCUUCCACAAGCCUUUUUCACUUUUGACCUCGGAUCAGGUAGGGAUACCCGCUGAACUCAAGCAUAUCAAUAAGCGGAGGA